UGUUUGAACUAGUAUUUUAUAAAACCAGGGUUUGCCAUCUGAAAAGAUAACUUUCUGCCAUGUUAGGAACAUAAUUCAGUGUUGUCUUCAUUUUCCCUUAUCUAAUUUACCAUUUCUCUGUUUCAUCUAAUCUUAAAACAUUUUGACAGAAACCUUAUAGGAGAAUUCGAUAUUUGUGGCUUACAGUGCUGGCUUCUAGUUAGUAGCUUGAUUUUAGGCAGUGUGAUUUAGGCAUGGUUUUUGGUGUGUGUCACAGUAUUUUGAAGACUUCUUGUUUGUGCAAUGCACAAACUGUUAUAAGAAGCGGUGAUAUGUGUUAAAAAGACAUUCCAGCCCUGUCUUUUUGUUAAAAUAUAAUUUAAAAGUAGGUUUUCUUUUAUGUUCCUUAUGGAGACUAUAGCAUGAAUUUUCCUUUCAGUUGUUAAAUGUUUGUAGCAGGGAAAAUUACAUUUCCUAUCUUUGAUAUUUGUUAGUGUUUUUAAAAGGAGUGAUUGUGUAUGAAAUUGGGCUUUCUUUUUGCAAAGCAGAUUCAUUUAGACACACCUAGUUAGAAAAAAAGAGAUAAUUGCGUAAUUAAUUACUUAAUUGGUAAGCGAAUGAGAGUUUUGGAUCCCAGACCUCAACUUCUCAGGUGUGUGUGUGAACAAGCAAUGCAUUCCUGAGAACACAUCCUCGCUGUGAGAUUACAAAUGACAUCUGCCACUCCUGCCUUUUCACUGUGCUGUCCUUUCACACAUGAGGUCCAGACUCGUGUUUCUCCCAAAUUCAGGAAAAUGGACACCAACUAGAAUUUGAAUUAGUGUUGCUUUUUUAAUGUGUUUAUUCAGUGUUCAAGAGACGUCCUUGGUAAUGCUGUCAGGAGUUAACUGCUUGUCUCUUGGUAUUGCUAGGGUCUUCUAAUUUUUCAAAACCAUUUUUGUUUUGUGAUUUGUUGUUAAGAGGCUAGCCUUUGGUUUUGUAGAAUGCAACAUUUGACCAGGUCAUUCCCUGGUCUUGGCAUUCAUGUUGUUCC